rnacentral:lncRNA from 1 species
AGGAAGGAAGGAAGGAAGGAAGGAGGGAGGGAAGGAAGGAGGGAAGGAGGGAGGGAGGGAGGGAAGGAAGGAAGGAAGGAAGGGAGGGAAGGAAAGGAUCUCCGUUUUGCAUUGUACUUGCCUUUCCACACACUUCGCAAGUGAAAACUUUGGGCUUGGCAUUAGGAGAGCCUCGGCUGAAAUCCGAGGUUUUGAACGCGAUUUUUUCCGACAGAAGCUGGGCGCUUUCUUUCAUGUAAUGCUGCAGCUGAGCCUGGGACAGGUCUUUGAAAGCUACUCCAGAAGGGUAUUUCUCCACCGCCGGGACCACCAGUUUAUUCCUUUCGGCUAAAUACGUUUUUGGCUGCGGGUGCAAAGGGGAACUGAGGAAGUAGGAGGCCACCGGGUGGAUGUUCACGCCGGCUGCCGGGUGGCAUGGGCCGUCACCUCGGUUCAGGUAGCACAAGGCGCCCAUGGCGUGGAAUGAAGAGUGGUUGACCACACGCGGCCUUACCAGCUUGUACUGCUGCAGCGGCAGCGCGUCGCGGGCCAGGUCGCCCUUGAGACUCAGUGCGCAGUUGAGCAGGUCGCUGCAGCUGAAUGCGGGAGCCGAGGGCACCGCCGCGGGCGCCGCCGGGGCCUCCAGACUGGCCUUCCGCGGCUCGGAGCCCGUCACUCCUGCCUUGGGGCUCGUGUCGUAGGCCACAGGCACGAAGGGGAUCAUGCAGGGGAUCGACGAGUUGAGAUGCAGAGAGUGCUUGGGUUCCCCCUUGGCAUCACCAGCCGAACCUGCCUGCCCAGCCCAAUGGACUCCUGCCAGCCCAUCGCAGAGUUCUUGGCGCACCAAUGACUCGGGGACAAUCACUACUUAUUUCUAUCAAUAGAAAGUGUUGUGUCAAUAACGCAGCCAAGAUCUCGCCAAUCGUUAACUUCCAAGAGGAGAAGGGCUCGGGGUUGCCCGCUCCCGGAAUCCCGGAGUCUCCGCGGCCCGAACCGAGUCUGGACCAUUUAGAAGACGCCGGCAGCCGAACACCCGCCGGGUGUGGCACCUCGGCCGAAACUCCUGGGGCGGCGCGGUGGAGCGUGUGGAGGUUUCCGGGAAGACGCCUACGGCUGCGGCUCCGACUGUGCGGGCUCCCGCCGCCCAGGCAAGAGCGUCCAGGAGCGCGCUGGAAGCUGCGGCGCGCACCUUCCCCGGCGCAGUCUCUUGCCAGCCGGCGAUCACGCAGAGCUGAACCCCGCAGCUAGGCGCGCAGGAAGGGCUGCACAGAGUUUGAAGACACGGCAGCUGUAAGCUGGCGUGAGGAGGCCAAAGGAGCGCGCAGAGCUGCAAGCAAAGGGCGGUGGGGCCUGGACCCUGAAGUGAGUGGCCGACCGCAGCAGCUCAAGGUGCCAUCUGCCUGGCAAGCUACCCGGGUCCCUCCGCCCCACUCUAACUUUCCGCGAAAAUCAGUUCCGCCUCUGCCCCAAGAGCCAAGAGGGGUGGAAAGGAAGAGAGCUUGGGCUGGGAACGCGCCUGAUGUCUAACAGAAAGGCAGUGGCAGCUGGAGCACCUGGGCAGAGCAAGCGGAGAGGCGCCACAUCCCCGAGAGGCGCUUCGUAGUUGUCCUUGGACCGGGCGCAGACACUCAGUAUUGGUCAGCGCUGGAAAUUUUCUUUCCUUUUGCUGUUGGGGCCGCAGAACCAGUCUCCUCCUUUCCCCUGCUCAGACAAAGGGCACGGGAAGGGCUUUGCUGGGGCAAAGGGGGGUGGGGGGUUCUCUGUCCCACGACAGAUGGGUCGCGGUUAAGACUUUAAUUGCUGACUUUUGGGCCGGAUCAGAUUCCUUUUCCUACCUGCCACUUCCCAGCAGCGAAAAAUCCCCCUCCUGCUGCACUCCUCCGCCACCGGGCUAGGUUGAAAGGAAAAAGCCAAGAAGCGCGAAGCAGCCCGGCUCUGGAAGGCUUUGGAGAGUCCAGCUGACUUGUACACAAUUCGCGGCCUCUGGAGCCUUACCUGCCUUCUUGACUGAAUGCCACCAGUUCGUUUUACGCUUGUGGCUUUUUGUUGAAGUCCCUAUCAUAAGCAAAUGCAGUUUCUGGCUAUGGUUACUGCAAUUCGAAAUAAAAGGCCUGUGAGGUGUGUCCCUCCAGACUGAGAGGCUAUGACUCAGGGUUGGACUUUAUGGAAAAAAAGAAGUUUAUAAAACAAGUAACCCAGUUUCUCCAACCUUUACUGUGGAGCAACAGCGUCAAGCAACAAAACCCAGCAAAGUUUUGCUUGUCACUUACAAGGGUGUUACUGAAAUCUGGAAGGCGAACAAUUAGAAGAUAGCCCAAACAUGCUCUAUUGCUCUACACUGAAAUACUUGCCUCCAAUAAUAGAAAAAACCUGUUUUCGUGCAAUUGAUUGAUUAGCGUUCUGCAGCAGUCCCUGGACAAUUUUAAAGACAUUUUGUGUUUGUGGCCAAAAUUAGAAACAAGCAGACACACACACAAAACAACCAUAUUCAAGACACGGUUCGACUGUUUCCUUGACACUACCCACGAAGUUUAAAGCAUUUUUUAUGUUAUUUUCAAACUUUCUUAAGUGAUCCCAUGAAAUAAAAGUCGAUAAUAGAAAUUAAAACAACACAGAGCAAAGAACGAGCUUAGUGAAAUGGAGAAGCAGUAGAGGUAAAUAAAAAUCCUCGAGCUAGAAAGCUCUAAGAACCGCUUAUAAAUUCAGUUACCUCCUGAACUCCGGCCGAUGGCCACUCCGGCCCGGGAGUGCCCCGCGCCGACCCGCUGGCCUUGGCCGUCUCAGC